rnacentral:rRNA from 1 species
UACGUAGGGCGCAAGCGUUAUCCGGAAUUAUUGGGCGUAAAGAGCUUGUAGGCGGUUCGGCAAGUCGGGUGUGAAAUUUCGAGGCUCAACCUCGAAACGCCACUCGAUACUGCUGUGACUGGAGUCCGGUAGAGGAGUGCGGAAUUCCUGGUGUAGCGGUGAAAUGCGCAGAUAUCAGGAGGAACACCAACGGCGAAGGCAGCACUCUGGGCCGGUACUGACGCUGAGGAGCGAAAGCGUGGGGAGCAAACAGG